UAGAAGCUGUCUGCAGGAUGCAGCCCUGACUCAGCAUCUGUUGGAAUCUGGACGAUCCAUGUGGUUGAACCCCAUUAAGGCCUCCACAGAAGGUUUACAGAUUCUGGUGGGUGUAGGUUGAGAUGGACUCUUCUUUAAGCAACCCUAGACCAGCCUGGGAAGUAAGUUCUCUUGCUUGUUCACCCCGCACCUGCCCAACUAGAGCUGCCUGCCUCUUUCUUCCGUCUCUCCUCGCCCAACCCAUCUGGGGGCUGGUUCAACUCCCACUUGGAAGCUCCUGGGUUCGACCACCAACAGCCUUUUCCACUUGAAGGAGCUUCCCCAGCAGUCCGUGUGCAGUGGUGGUGGCAGAGGUUGGUUCUGUCUUCCUCACUUCCAGUGGAGAUCAUUUUACCUCUGGCACAGGUGUGCUGGUCACACAGAGCCCGGGGGCCUUGCUGAAAUGGAUCAGAAAAAGAAGAAAGAAAGAAAGAAAGAAAGAAAGAAAGAGAGAGAGAAAAGCUUGCCUGGAAGGUGAGUAGGGGAGACUUCUUCAGAAUUCAGCAACGCUGCUUCACUCUGAGAGACGCCAACUAGACGCAAGGGUGGGCUGCAGGCAGUUCGAGUCCUAUCUGAAUCCUGCAAGAACUCAUUAAGUGCCUUGUGCCCACGUGGUACCUACUUACAGACGGCACUUGGCCCAGAUGUCCCCACGAGGCAAAACACUGGACACUCCCCAGCAACUCCUGGCGGCCACUCCAGCAUGGCGCAGAAGAUUAUGAACACAGAGAUAAAACUUCCGCUGUGGUAUUUUACAGCUUCAGCUUCUUCCCUCAGUCUGCUGGAUCUCUGGAAUUCUGCAGUAAAUCGAAAUUGUUCUUUCUCCCCUUCAUCAGGGUUAAAAGACUGUUUAAAAACUGGGCCAUAAAACUGUCUCAUGUUCUAAAAUAGGGAAAUCAUACAGGUCAUAUUUUCUAAGGACAACAUUAUUGAUAAAAAAAGAGUUGAACUAAAAACUCAACCACUCAAAAAUUUAAAAAAAAACACAUAACAAAUGCAAACCAUUCACCUAAAUAAUGCUUAGGUCAGAGGGAAUAUAAGAGGUACAAUUAGAGUAUUAUUAGACAAUAACGACAUUAAGGGCACUAGAUAUUAGAACUUACAGAAUGACUAGCAUUGUACUCAGAGAAAAUGCAUAGUCUGAAAUACUUUGCUUUUCAAUAAGGAAUGACUGUAUGCAGGAUUUAAUUCAAUAAUUGGCAAACAAAAUAGACUUAUGUAAAGCAAACCAAAAUUAUGGCAGACUUAAAAAAAUUGGUAAGAUAUUAGACAAGUUGCUAGCAACUCAAAUCAAGAAUUAGGAGAAAACAUAAUCACAGAAAGUGAAGAAUUAGAAAGAGGAUUUAGUAACUGAUAUUAAAGUGGGAUAUUCAAUUCCAUUACACAGAGACAAAUUUGAGAUUCUAAGGAAUGCACGAUUUUCUGAGACAAUAUUAUUUACAAUAAUUGACUCAAGAAGAAGUAGGGACUCUGAAUAGCCCAGUAAUCAGGAAGAAGUUUUAUUUAUUUUUUUUACAGAUUUAUUGAGAUAUUAUUGACAUACAGCAUAUAUGUUUAAGGGACACAAUAUGAUGAUAUAUAUCAAAAUUAUAUGAUAAAAAUAAGGUUAGUUAACAGCUCCAGCUUCUCACAUAUUUACAAUUUUUUUUUUACCUGUAUAAAAGAGACUCCAGGGAGCAACCUGGCCCUUUCUGACAUGUUGAGGACAUAGUGAGAAGACAACUCUCUAUGAACCAGAGUGGAUUCUCACCAGACACUGGAUCUACCUACACUUUAAUCUAGAACUUUCCAACUUCCAGAACUGUGAGAAAUAAGUUUCUACUGUUUAAGCCACCUAGUCUAUGGCAUUUUUAUUUUUAUUUAUUUCUUUUUUUAGAGAGAGAAAGAGCAUGA